ACCAGGACUAAUCUCUUGGCAGUAGCGGAGAGCGUCGACCAUAUCUCUGGGAGAGGGGGGCUCUAAGGGGCGGGUCACACCCACUCACCACGAGCCAGGGUGGCGUCACUGCUGCGGCGUCGCCAUAGAGACCGCCACAGCGACACUGCCGUGGUGACAUCAUAUCCGCGUCCUACGAUUCUAGGCCGUCAUCACGUCCUUUUACGUCAAUCGCAGCUAUUCUUCAGGAGGGCAGGAACUCACUCUGUUUUCCCAGAUAAGCAUCAGAGAGCUGGGAGAGAGGUUCUAUCUGGGACGCAGCAUUCCCAAAUCCAGGAAACAGCGAGCACCAUCCCGUCCUGUCUCUUCCUGAGCAGAAGGGCCAGCCUUGUGUUUUCCCACGCCAGUAGUCCCUGUCAACCACAUUUAGUGGAACAUUAGCCACAGCAUUGUUUUCUUGCCCCCCUCUUUCUCUUUCUGUCUCUCUCUCACUCUUCAUCUCUGUCCUCACUCACUUUCUCUGCCUAUGUCUCUCUAGUCUUAUCUCUUUCAUUCUGUUGUCCUCUCUUUGUCCAUCCACCUCUCCUCCUAUCUCCAUAUCGCUCUUUCAUUUGAAGAGCACUUCAGCAUCCCCCAAGCUCUUCACAGAGGAAGUAUGGUUGGAGAGAGAAGCGAGAGAUGAAGAAUAAAGAAAAAGAAGUCUCUCCGUUCCUAAUGGGAAUGACAGACAGACGCUGUGGAGAGAAAGACAGAAAGAACCGGGACACUGGAGCACCCCACAAACAUCACCCCCUGACCCCCU
rnacentral:lncRNA from 1 species